UGUUGUUAUUGUUGUUUAAAUCUUCCUGGAAGGCAGAAAGAAAGAGAUAAAAAGGAAAAAACAGCAUUUGUCACUUAUAGUGCUCUGGUUAGCACAGUAGCUGGGCCCCUGAACCCUCUACAGGCCUCCCAAGCUGGCACUGAAUAAAAUGUGAGAAAUGAAAGGAACUUUUCCGUGAGUCUGGCAGCGCCGACAGACACUGAGGUGGCAGAGCUGUCUGGUCCCAGUCCACAUGCAGAGGCCUGCAGCUCCUCCUUCCAGCCCGCACCCACCAGAGCUUCUCAGACGGGCCGUGUCCUGAGAAGGAAAGCAAAAAGCCCCGAAGAGCCUGGCUUGGAAUAAAAACAUGCACCAUACAAGAUUUUUAUGAAGAUUAAAUAACUUGGGCUAAAAUAUUCUGGAAGCUGCCAAGGGCUCUACAGAUGAGCUAUACAGAGGCAUUUGCUGAAAACUGGCCUGGAUUGACAAGCGCAAUGCAAACGUGGCUGCGGCAGUUCCAGGCAUCACAUGGUAACAAGAUCACAUCCAGUGAAGAAGGAAUUCUCAUAAGACAGUCAGCAGAUUUUGCAGGUUUUCAACUGAUUGGAUGAGGUUCACCUACAUUAUGGAGGACAGUCUGCUUUACUCAAAGUCCAUCAAUGUAAAUUCCUGCAAGGUGGAUAUCACUCUCACCUUCAGCGCACAAAGAAAGGAGGUAUACAGAAGACACAGAACUCACCAAAGUCACAGGAACUAGGUGAGGAUGAACCAGGCUGCAUCCAAGCAGCCCAGCUUCAGGGUCUGUAUUCUUUGCCACUACCCAGAACUUUUACCAAUAAGCAAAGCUAUUGUUUGCAAUAACAGGAAGCAAAAAUAGCAAAAAGUUCCCUUUAAGGGGGAGUGUUAUAAUAUACUUAACAAUCAGAAUGGCUGAAGCACUGAUCUGUGAGAGUGGCUACUGGUCAUAGCCUGGAGCUGGUCUUUUAGGUCCUCUUUGGUUACUGGAUCCUGGGAGGAUGGAUGAGGAAGUGGUCUCAGGCAAGGGGUGGAGUUAAGUGGCUGUGGAAGGUACUUUGGAGGCUCAGGCAGCAGCUUUUUUUCCCCUUAAACUUUUGUUUUAAGUUCUAGGGUACACGUGCAGGAUGUGCAGUUUACAUAGGUAAACGUGUGCCGUGGUGGUUUGCUGUACAGAACAAACCAUCACUCAGGUAUUAUUAAGCCCAGCACCCAUUAGCUAUUCUUUCUGAUGCUUUCCCUCUCCCAACUUCCACCCGACAGGCCCCAGUGUGUGUUGUUCCCCUCCCUCUGUUCUCAUUGUUCAGCUCCCACUUAUAAGUGAGAACAUGUGGUGUUUGGUUUUCUGUUCCUGCGUCAGUUUGCUGAGGAUAACAGCUUCCAGCUCCAACUAUGUCCCUGCAAAGGACAUGAUCUGAUUCCUUGUUAUGGCUGCAUAGUAUUCCAUGGUGUAUAUGUAACACAUUUUCUUUAUCCAGUCUAUUGUUGAUGCACAUUUGGGUUGAUUCCAUGCCUUUGCUAUUGUAAAUAGUGUUGCAAUGAACAUACAUCUUUAUAUAUGAAUAUAUGUAUCUUUAUAAUAGAAUGAUCUAUAUUCCUUUGGGUAUAUGCGCAGUAAUAAGAUUGCUGGGUCAAAUGGUAUUUCCGCUUCUAGAUCUUUGAGGAAUCGCCACACUGUCUUUCACCAUGGUUGAACUAAUUUACAUUCCCACCAACAGUGUAAAAACGUUCCUUUUUCUCCACAACUUUGCCAACAUCUGCAGUUUCUUGACUUUUUAAUAAUUGCCAUUCUGACUGGCAUGAGAUGGUAUCUCAUUUUGGUUUUGAUUUGCAUUUCUCUGAUGAUCAGUG
rnacentral:lncRNA from 1 species